UCCGGCUUAACGCCGGCAGACCCCCUAGAGUGCCCAACUGAAUGGUGGCAACUAAGGGCAAGGGUUGCGCUCGUUGCGGGACUUAACCCAACACCUCACGGCACGAGCUGACGACAGCCAUGCAGCACCUGAACCGGCAGUCCCCGAAGGGAAAAUCCUAUUUCUAGGACGGUCCACCGUUGUCUAGCCCAGGUAAGGUGGGGAUGACGUGCCAGUAUCGGAA
rnacentral:misc_RNA from 1 species